rnacentral:ncRNA from 19 species
UCGCCCACAAUGGCCUCAACGGUUUCAAGACGGAUGCGGUCUCGUGUGCCAAGUGUGAGCGGACGCGAAGCGCUGCGAGCCCAGUCGGUCACGUACCGAAGCCCUUCCCAGGGGCAUCCCUGUUGGAGUCGUUUCCGGCCCCCCGCCGGAUCCGGUUUCAACUUUGGUCUCCUCGCGCUAACCCCGUAGCGUGUGGUUUUUAGCGGGCUAAUAAGCCCGCUUUUUUUCG